rnacentral:misc_RNA from 1 species
GUGAGAGUAAUAUAAGCUUUGCAAAUCAUUGUCAAGCAAAAUUGUUGUUGGGGCUAUUCAAUGAUGGGUAUAGGAUGGAGGAAAUUGGGACCAAUAAACUGGUUUUAGGAUGGAAGUCCCGGCGUCUACUUUCUGCUUCUAUUUGGACCACAAUGGAUAUUGACUUGUAAUAUCAAAAUGUAUAUAAUUCUUGUAAGUGUGCCCCUCCCCACCCCAAGUCUUUAUCUACUAUGUGUGUAUUGUUUAGUGGUGUUAUUUUGGAUUCAACUAUUUUUU